rnacentral:ncRNA from 1 species
AUAAUGGCAAGGAACGGAAGAAGUACGAAAAGGAAGAAAGGCACCAGAGAAAGCCGCCGGUAUGAUAAAAUGUACCGUGCUGGAAGCGGCUCUGCUUUUCGUUUUCGGAAAUGCAUCCGUGAGCCGGGUCUCUGAACCAUUUUAUAGUAGGAGACUCCGUGUCCCGCGUUACGGGUUUGAGCGCGCUUUGCUUUUUUAAGCAGAGCGAAACAGAGUGGAACCGCGGAAAAUUACCGCCUCUGUA